rnacentral:tRNA from 1 species
UCCUCAGUAGCUCAGUUGGUCAGAGCAUCUGACUGUUAAUCAGAGGGCCCCAGGUUCAAGUCCUGGCUGAGGAGCCA